AACCAAUAAGACACUGUUUCUACAUAGCCUGCCCAGCAACAAGGGAAGCAUAUGAGGGCAAGUACUAAACCAAGAAUUCAGACUGUGAAAACAAAGUUGGACUGAAAAAAAAAGGAUUUAAGUCGGCUUCUGUGACCAAUGUUUUCAUAUAUUUGUUACCAAAUUUGCACACAUAUAAUCAAUCCUCUGGAUUUUAAUUUUCAAACCAGAAGGACAUAAGGCAAGAAACAAGAAGAAAAGGAGAGUCAUUCCAAAAGACAGCAAUAACACAAGACACUGCAAUGGUUUCCCACUUCCUGCUCCAGUUCAUUUUACAGAAUGAAACUAAGGCAAACAGAGUUAAGCAACUUGCCCAUGAUCACACAGCAAAUACCUGGUUUUUAAAAAACGAAGAGAGAACUUUCCAAACAUAAGAAGCAGCUGGUGAAGAUACUUGGAGCUAUGAGAAGGAACGUCCUGUGCAAUUAUGAUAUCAUUUAUAUAUAAAUACAUAAUGUAUAUGUAAUGAUAAUAUAUUUCUGUCAGAUUAGUUAUUCAAUGUAUGCAAAAGACAAAUUUGCAUAUUUUUUAACUAAAUAAGGAUGACAAUGCUUAGUGCAUAUAUUGGAAUCAGACCCAUUGCAAUAAAUAUUAAAAAGUCAUUACUUCAAACCCAACAUAAAACAAGGGCUGUUUUCAUUAUUGUCUCUGUAUCCAAUAACUGGGAAUGGACAAAUUAUUUCUUUCCUGUUUUUUUCUCAAUUGGAUAUUAAAAAAAAAAAAUUGGGAUUUUUUUCUUUCAUUUUUUUUCUAACUUAUAUGGAUUUUAAAACUUUUUAAACAUUCAUUUUUAUAAACUUUGAAUUUCAAAUUCUUCUCUUCCUCACCUAUCCCCUCAUCCUGAGAAAGAAACUUUAUAUAAAUUGUAUACAAAUAAAUCGUGGAAAUAUAUUUCCAUAUUAGCCAUGUUGCAAAAGAAAACACAAACUCAAAAUAAACUACAAAUCUCAAGAAAAAUAAAGCUAAAAAAAAUUAUGCUUCAGACUGCAUUCAUGCUCCAUCAGUUUUUUCUCUAGAGGUAAAUAGCAUUUUUCACUGUAAGUCUUUGUUUUGGAUCAUUGUAUUCCUGAGAAUAGCUAAGUCAUUCACAGUUAAUCAUUGUACUAUAUGGCUGCUACUGUGUAGGGUUGUAGUUCUGCUCACUUAGAUGUAUCAGUUCAUAUGUUUCUCCAGAUUUUUUUGAAAGCAUACUAAAGCAAGUAGUCAUCCAAUGAUUUUACAUGGACUGCAGUUAUUUUAAAAAGAAUUUCUCUUAUCAUUUUUUGGACUUUGUUGAUUAUAUGUAAAAAUGCUCAUGCUUUAUAUGUUUAAUUUCUAUCUUACAACUUUGUUGUUAAUUAUUUCAACUUUUUUUAGUCAAUUCUCUAGGAUUCUCUAAGCAGUCUAUCAUAAUAUCUGUAAUAGCUUUUUUCCCUCAUUACCUAUUCUCAUUUCGAACAAUUUCUUUUUCUUCUCUUGUUAUAACUAGCAUUUCUAGUAUAAUACUGAAUAAUUCUAGUGCGUUAAUAAGUAUCUUUACUCAUGAUAUUACUGUAAAGGUUUCUAGCUUAUCUCUUAUAAAUAAUUCUUCAUAAUGAAUGGAUUGUGACCUGUAUCACUGCAGUAAAUCCAAUGUCAUAAAAUUAUCAAAUCUAUUUGAUUAUUUGAAUAUAUCCCUGGUGGUUAAUUCACUGCCUAGAACAUUAGAUGUUUGUUUAAAUAUUUAUUGAAUCAAAGAUUAGCUACCUUCAAAAAUAGCUUUGCUCUCUAUAUUUAAAAAAGAAAAAUGUAAAGCAUUAGCUAUAUUCUAUAGUUAAAAUGAAUUCAUUUCCAACAUCUUUUACACCCAAAGUAAAUAAUUGUAUCAGGAAUUUCCAAAGUUUAAAGGUAACAUUAUAACUGUUCCUUGAUGUUAAAGAGAAGUAAUAGUGCUCAUUCCAAUAUACUAGGAAUUAUAAACAUGUUCUGUUACUCAAUGUCAUUUUUAGGUGCUUAGAAUAUGUGAUUGUGUGAUAAUUUAUAUAGCUACAUAAGCAUAAACUUUUCUUUCUAAAUAAAAUUUGCAUUACAUGCUUCCUAACUUUGUGUUAUUCUUAGCAUAUUCACUCAAUAAAUCAUAGGAUUCUCACAUAAAAGAGACCCCCAGAAUGACAAGUGUUUAUCGGAUGUGUGGUUGAAGGGUACUAGUGCCAAAAAACUAACUCAUUUAAUCUUGAAGCAGUAUAUUAAUCAAUCUUGUAUAUCCUGGAAAAAGCAUAUUCAUCUUCAUUUGGAACAGAAAAGGAAAAAAUAUAUUCUAUUUUAUAGUAAAAAAAAAAAUUUUUGUAACAAAUUAUUGCAAUGCUACUUUUGUCCUUGCCAAUAUCCAUUGAAUGAUAAGAACUAUCAGUAUUCAGAUACACACACACACACACAUACACAAAUAUAUGUAUAUACAUAUAUACACACAUAGAUAUAUACAAAUAAAUUAUCCACUUAUCUUGAGUGUGUGUGUGAGAGAGAAAAAGACAGAGAAAAGAUGGGGGAGGGAGGAGAUUGCAAAAUGCUUUUUUCAAAACAGCUUUAGAGGUAGUCAGUAAUUUGAUACUAUAACUAAAAUAGGUAGGGAUAGAUUGUGCCUUAGAAAAACUAUAAUUUGUUUGAGAAAAGGAACUAUAGAGUGUUUUGGUUUCAUUUAAAAACAAGGGUAUAAGAUUUGUAUGACAGUCAAUAUAAAAUGAGAAAAUUACUGCUGAGAGAAAAAAAAUGAAACUCUUAAAAAUACUAAAACUUAUUAGUCCUUUUUUACAAUUACGCUAAAAAAUUUCUCCUGUACUAGAAUUUCCUAAACACUCACAAAAAUUUUAUAAGAAUGAUAACUGUCUUGUAUCCUCUAACUUGUCACCUUAUUGAUCUUUUUCAUGUACUCCCCUCCACUAAAAUAUACACUCCUUGAAGGCAACAGCUGUUUUUGCCUGUCUUUGUACAACACUAACUACAACUAAUACUUGGCAUGGUGGUAAGGACAUAGUAAAGCACUUACCAGAUGCUUGUUGAUUUGAUAUGACUAAAAAGUAAUUAAAAAAAAAAAAAAAGGCAGCAGGAAGCCCUUGAAGAUGUUAUGGAAAUUAAUUGAGAAUCAGGAAGAGAGAAAUGGAAGAUGAUGGCAGGUGUAUAUGUUUCAGUGAUUACUUUAGCACUGAAACAAGGAUUUAUGGACCCUCAUCCACAGUCCUAGAACCAUUUGUCUUUGAAAAGCCACUGAAAUAUUGAGUUCAAUUUCCUCAUCUGCAAAUUGAGGGGCAUUGAAUUGGACUGAGGGAAUUAGGUGGCAUAGUGCUAGACCCAGAGUCGGAAGAGAGAAAUUUAAAUUCAGCACUGGAAACCUAUCAGCUGUGUGACACUGGGUACUUAACCUAUUUGCUUCAGUUUCCUCAAUCUGUGAAAUGGGAUAAUAACAGCAUCUACCUCCAAAUAUUGUGAAAAUAAUAGUAGCGGUUUUAAAAUCAAUAUGCAAACCUUAAGGCAUUAAACAAAUGCAAGCUAUCAUAAUGUUAACUAAAGUCCUUUUAAAUUUGAAAAUAGUUAAGAUUUUUGUUAGCACAUUUAUAAAAUUACUAGAAAGGUGAUGGUCUGACAGUGAUGAACCAAAAUAGCUUUGGGGGGGGGGGGGGGGGGGAGGUGAAACUUAAGUAUAUAAAUGGAAAUUAGGUUGCCUAUAAUUUAAACAUACUAAUAACAGUAUAUCAUACUUCUAAUAUUUACACAGCUGUUUCUUAGGCAUUUCAAUAUUAAAAAUUAUCUACAAAGACCUAUUAAGCUAUAAGAUACUUAGAUGGAGAGAAAUUAAUAAAAAUAAAAAUAAAAUAAAAGCAAAAAAAAACUUUAACUGAUAAGCACAUAAGAAUGGUUUUAACUAUACUAAUUGAUCUAUGAGAGAUUAUUGUAAAUUAUGCUAACCAAAGCACUGAAAUCUAAAGCUUCCUUAAAAGUCUACAUAUAUAUAAGGACACUUCUAUAAAGUGCUGGCACUUUCCAGAUAAGUUGUUACUUCAAAUUUUUGAGUCUGUUUUUGAAGAUUUAACUGCUCAUUCAAAUUCAAAUGGAAGAGAAAGUCACAGAAAAACCUUUCCUCCAAUCUCAAUUUCAAUUACACUUCUGUUCCUAAUAAAAACGCAGCCAGAAGAUUUUACAAGUAGUCGCUUAGCAACAGCAACAGGCCAAGUUUAAGACUCAGAAAUCUGGCAGCCAUUUGCGAAUGCAUAAUUGGACCUCGCUAGAGCUUUCAUAGUGGAGACAGAGGGAAUUAGGAGGAAUAAUCCCAGAAACAAUAAAACAGUAAAGCAAUCAAGAUGCCAGCUACAGAUAAGCUCUUCCUGAGUGUUCAAAGAUUGAUAUCAAGAAAGACAAAUUCUAAUACCUUAAGAAUUUUUUAAUAUUUACACCUUGAAUGUUUCUUCAAAAUCUAUUCUUUUUAAAAUAUUUUCAUCAUUAUUUUCUCUGUUGAGGGUUCAUACAUGCCACAAGAAAUAUCUAGAAUAUAAAUUAGAAGAAAAACACUUAAUGAGGAAAAAAUACUAGCAGUAAACUUCUCUCAUGAAAAUCUGAUAGCCAAGAUAAAGACAGAUUUGAUACAAAGAAGAACAAGAACUAUUCACUAAUAGAGCAAAGGAUAUAUAAAAUAGGCAAUUUCUAAAAAAAAGAAAUGUAAACUAUUAAUACCCAUAUGAAAAAAAUAAUACACAUCACAAAUAAGAGAAAUAAAUAUUUUAAAAACAAAGAUUCUACCACAUACUUAUAUUAGCAAAAAUAACAAGAGGAAAACUGCCAACUAUUAAAAGGGGAUAUAGGAAUUGUUACAAAACAUUCUGAAAAUCAAUUUCAAAGUACAUACACCUCCAAAAAAAUUAAACGACAUAUGACCUUUGACUUGUAUUUUCAAAUGCAGUUACUGUGCUAAUUAAUUCUGUUUGACUUGCUUUGUGUGUCAUAAGGAAAGCCUGGGAUGGGGGAAAAGAAGGGCCUCUAGGUAGAUUUUGUAGGUACUAAGAGAUGAAAAAAACAAACAAACAAACAAAAAAGUUGUUCAGGGGAACACAAUGAAAACAAGAGAUUCAAAAAGUAAACAAAUGGGACAAUUUUGUGCUUUCUUGUUUGAUUUAAAGUACACUUAACUGUAUGCAACAAAAUUCUUGCUUUCAUACAUUAUUCUCUUUCCUUCCUUGUGUAUUGCAAUGUUUUGUGUAUGCAGAUUGGUGGGUUAAUAUCAAUAAAAAUUUUUAAACAAAAUUUACAUGAGCAAAUAAAUCUUUUAUAACCUAAAAGUGUUUAGGGAGGAAUCCACAAACCAGAAAUAAACUAAAUAAGCUACUAUUAAAAUAAUCUUUGUUUCUACCAAGAAUGUCAAAGAAAAAAUUAUUUCCCUUUGGAAGAGGGAAAUUUACUAACUAAUUUGUAGGUUUUGGUGGACAAUUUAAAUAAACAGCACUUGGCUCUAUAUCAGCAUAAGAUGCAACCAGAUCAAAAGUAGUACCUUGUAUCUUCAUUAUCAAAAUAAUCUAUUUAUUAGUAUGAUUAAUUGAGAAAUAAUCAGUUUUACAUCUUAUCAUGUUUUUUAAACAUUUAAUACAACUCUUUUUAAACAGCAAAACAUAUAACAUUAAACAGCAUUCUCAGUGACUAUAUUUUAUAAGAUGAAAUACCACAUAAAAAAUGAAGGCAGGGACAGUCCAAAACAUUCAAAUACUUAGACAUUUUACACAUUCACACACUAUUAUUUACAAAAAAAUUAAUGUAUCUACCACAGCUGUGGUUCCCAUUUAGUGGAUCACAAACUGCUUAGGCGUUUCCUAGUAUGGUCAAGGAUUUGAUACAAAAACUUCUCAAACUGUUUCUUAAGCAGUGAUAAAAUGUCAAAUAUAUUUUAUAAAAUAUAUUUUUCCUCUGUCAAAAAAAGAAUGUGCUUGUUUGAAGCAUUUUAGUUUUGUUUCUGUAACAAUUAUAAACUAUUACAAUCAAUCACAUAACAAUUUAUGUUCAUGCAGCAACUACAUGCAAUAUAGACCAUACCACAAACAAACAUUCUUGGAGUUUCACAACUUAUCAUCAAAUUGUUUCCAAACCUCUACAGGGGUUCAACAUUUAAAAACAAACUAGAUGCUCAAGGGAUGCUCAGAGUAGGCACAUAUGCUCACUUGCAUUCUAUCUAACUCAACAAAGCUCCUCCCUCAUUUCCUUUUACUCUGUAAUUGUACUUCACCAGCUAUGUAAUCAUGCAAAUCAAGAUGUUAAAAAUGUUUGCAUUCUUGUUACAUAAAUGUCUGGCUAUUCAGAAACUAUGAUCACUCCCCAUGCACAUUAUAGACCAUCCUGAAAUAAUCACAAACUAUCACAAAAAUUCUGCAGAAAUAAAGCUUUUAAGGCCUCUCAUGGUAGUAUUUAGACUGUUUUUUGAUUUUAACUUAUUCUCCACUUAUGUUAUCAAAUGAACUAACUGGCAACACUGGUCAGUUAUUCAAUUAAGUUUUAUAAAAAUGUAAGUGGUAGAAAAGACAAAGUCAUUUCUGAAGGUUUCUUUCUUUACAAAGGCCAAUUUAGAUAUUAAAUGUUAAAAAUUAAGCAGCAUAUGCCAAAUGAACUUUAGGUAUAUGUCAUUUAAGAGAGCAUGUGUCACUAGGGAAGUCACUUAACUCCAAUUGCCUCAGCAAAAUAAUAAUAAUAAUAAUAAUAAUAAUAACAAUAAAAUAUCAUAAUUAUGUUAGCAUAUGAUCAUUAAGUCAAUCUCUAAAUCCCCAGAUUUUAGUAAAAAAAAAUUACUUUUAUCCUGUAAAUUCUACACUAAAGUCAACUUUUCCUGAGCCACAUAUGAAACUGGUAUUUUGGAGCAGCUUUGCACUCAAAAUCAUAUCAAAAGCUUUUUUCAUUCACCAGUUUUCAUUCCCUACAGCUAGUCUUGAUUAUCAUUGGUUUUAAAGGUUACCAAAAAGUAUAGUUAAUAUAUUGAAUUACUUGCUUUCUAAGGGAAGGGGUGGGGAAAACUGAGGGAGAAAAAAUUUGGAACACAAGGUUUUGCAAAGGUUAAUGUUGAAAACUAUGCAUAUAUUUUUAAAAUAAAAAGCUUUAAAAAAAAGAUCAAAAACAUCCCAUUCACCAAUUGGCGGACCUCUGAGAAUGAGAAGGAAUCUCAAGUGCUUGACUCAUUCCAAAUUUACCCCCACUCAAGUAAUUCUAGAAGCCAACAAUAGUUUAAACUAGGACUUCACAUCAAUUUUUUCCCAUAGCAAUCAUUAUACAGGAUUUGCUACAAAUUGCUUUUUAUUUGAAAGUUACUUUCUCCAACGAACUUUAAGUUACAAAUUCUUAACUUCUGCCAAAAUAUUUGUGAAAACUUAGCAGCUUUUUAUACCAUGAGGUUGAUAAAUACCACAUAAGAAAUUAUGCAGGGACAGAAUGUAAUAUAUAUAUUUGGAAAGAAUUCCAGCAAUCCAGGAGAUCAAAGAACUACAAAAAUAUUAAAGCAGACUUGUUCAACAUUUGCAACUGGUCUAUUAAAUCUUGAAGCUAUCUUAAGAGCAACUAGUGAGCAAAUAGCCCUCGUGGAAUGGCACAUAACAGAGGUAAGAAAGCCUUUCAUUGUAGAUGGGAGAUGUUACUGGAGACAUAGAAUUGGCUGUGGAUAACAAGAAAAGGCCCUCUGCAGCCUUUUUUGCCUAACAGAGAAUAGAAUAAUACCACCAAAAUCAAAUUGACAUUCAAAUGGAUUAUUCCUUUUGUCUUGAUGUAUUUUGUCCUACAAAGGUAAAAUUCAAUAAAGUUCUGGAUGGCAUGUUUUUACAAGGACACUAACAGACUAAAAAGACAUUCAGGACAAUAACUAAAAAGGUGAGGAGGAUGGAACUAUGGCACAUGAAAAUCAAUUAGUAAAAUGGGUUAUUUAAUAUGAAGAAAACUAAGGAAGUAACAAUCUCUAUCUUUCAAUUAUCUAAAGGGCUAAAUAAUUAGCCCAAAUAAGUGGGUAAAAAAAUUAAAGAAAAACAGAUUCCAGAACAAUACUUUUAUGUUUUCUCCAAUAAUACACCCACAUAUUUUUAGCCUAUAUACCAGCUAGUCAAUACGUUACCAUAAAUUCUUCAUGGGGUUCACUCAACAUGCCAAAGGCCUUCUUCUAGAUCUCUUGAUAAUUGCCUACAUAUAAUAGUACAUUUUGGUUAUUUCUCAUUCUUAUUACAUGAAAGGUCAACUACCUUUUGCAGUCAUGUAUUUCUCUGAUACUAACUUUUAUGCUAUUUUUGAACAGUUCUUCCUUGUUAAUGACUUGCAGAUUAUUCACAUGCACCAUGUACAUGGCUGAUUCUCAACUUUAAUUCUUUAGGAUCUGAAUAAUCUUUGACUUGCACCCAUAUAGCUUACCCAAGAGAAAAACUAAUAUAUCCACCUUUCUUUUUCCAAAUGUGGGCCUAGUUCAUUAUCUCCUUAUUUCUUUCCAAGACAUAUACAUACUGAUAUACUGGCACUCUGGCUUGUUCAACUGCAUAUCAUAAUCUGAAUAAUAAGAAUAUUUCAUCCACUUGGUUUUUCCUAUGAGUACUCAAACAUUUGAUUGAGUAAGAAUCUCAUCUAGGUAGCUGUACAGUAGUCAGCACAAUAUUAUUUUAAAAUAGGAUCAUCAUUAGGACUUUGCAGUUGAGAAGGAAUCCUCCACCAUUUAGACAAUGGCAUGGCAAUGGCAAACAGUUUUGACAAGUACAUCUACAAUUGAUAUUAAUAAUCAGAAAGUCACUGAAUAGAGUUCUAUUUUUCUUUGUGGUUACAAGUAAUAAGUACAGUGAGUUUUACAAUCUCCACACUUUCAAAUUGUAUGGCUAUCAAGACUACUGUCUGGGGUGCAUAGGUGGCAUAGUGGAUAUAGAGCACUGGCACUGGAGUCAAGAAGACCCGAGUUCAAAUCCAACCUCAGACAUUACUAGCUAUUUGACACUGAGCAAGUCACUUUAUUCUAAAUGCCUCAAAGAGGAAAGGGUGGGGUAAAAGAUGCAGUAAAGUGUGUUAAAAAAAUAGUUUGCAAAGAUAACUGUAUAAAUAUGUAUACAUAUAGUGCAUUAAACAUAUAUUUUAACAUAUAUUGGACUACCUGCCAUCUAGGGGAGGGGUGGAGGGAAGGAGGGGAAAAGUUGAAACACAAGUUUUUGCAAGAGUCAAUGCUGAAAAAUUACCCAUGCAUGUGUUUUGUAAAUAAAAAGCUAUUAAAAAAAAAAUAGUUUGCAAAAGUCUGGCAGUUCCCUUCCUGUUUUAUCAAGGAUGCCCUGUGCUAUGAAGAUUAGUCUUAUAAAGCUAUUGUUGAGAUGGGAAUAGCUGUUACAUUUUCUCACUUUCUUCUGUGCAAUAAUCAGAGUAUCAUAUUGCCUGAUAACACUGUUUAAAACUAUUAUCAUAUUUAAAAGCAUAUGCAACAGUUUAUUGUGAGCACCAGAAGAUAAAGUGACUAAGAUUUAUCAGGGCUGAAUGGGGGUGGAAGAUUAUAGAAUUCAAAAUCAAAUAGAAACAGGAAAGAAUGAUAAUCAAAAGUCAUGUAUGAGAAAAGAAAGGAAUAAGGGCAUACAUAUCAUGUUGCCAAGCCUGGAGAAUAGUGGUGAAAGUGAGAAAAGAACACAAUUUUAAAAAGCUCAAAAUCUUAAAAUGAUAGAAGACCUGAAUUGAAGAUCAGACUUCAACGUGUAGCUUUGUAUUCUUGGGAAUGUCACAGUGAACUGUAGAAUUUUAGAAUAUGAAGGAAUCUUCAAGGCAAUCUAAUUCAACAUACCUAUGUUUCAGGUUAUUCAUCUGAAUAAAUGAGCCAUAGGUACACUUCAUUAUUUAUAAACUUAAAAAAAGAUAUUAUUUUAAUAAUGCAUUGCUGAGAAAUGCUAGGUCCAUUUCACAGAUGAGGAAAAGGAGAAAAUGGGCAGAGAAGAAUCCUGAGUUUACUUACUACUUGUAAGAUGCUAGGUAAACCAUUAUGACCUAAGGUAACAGCUUUUCACAUCUUUGUUUUCUUUGAUACAAUUUCUGCUUCCUCAUGGGAAACACAAGGAACUAUGAUAUUAAAUCCAAAUAUAAUAGCUCUGUUAUCAUUGAUUGAAAAGUUAUAAAAACCUGAAUCUAUCUCUCCUUGUGAUUGUCCAUUUUCCUGUAAGCUUCAUCCUUAAGUUUCCUAGAGACUAUAAUGAUUAGUUGAUCUUACCAUGUUUUCCAUAAAUUUAUUUUUCCUUCUACUUCUAUAUGUUUUAAAAGGUACAGUUAUUACUCAACCUUAUAUCAUCUUUACAUUCAUACCUCCCUGUUGUUCUUGGUUACUAGCACUUUAUGCUUCAGGAGAAAAUGAUGUGCUUACUGGCCCUAUGAGAUCAAUAUGAUAACUAGUCAAUAUGAUAACUAAUCAAAAGGUCUCUUACUGAUGUUUGUUAUUUUAUCCAUUUCUAUUUGCGAAUGCCAGUAGUUUGUUUAAAUAGAUCUGGCAAGAACUGACUCAAUUUGGAGAUUACAUAAACUCAUUUUUUAUUCUUUCUUCUAAAACUGAUUUUCAUUCCUAUAAAAAACAAGUCAGUGUUUUAAUUAUUCAGAAAUAACAGGUUCAUAAAUUACUCAAACCAGAAUCUAUGAGUUUUCCAAAAUACAAUCAAUUUCCAUUUUUGUAAUAUUAUUUAGUACUUUCCAUGUCCAAUAGACACAUUCUUGAACAAAUUAUUUGUGAUAAGAAAUCACACUUCUAUAUGCAUUAUAAACUUUUAGCUAUCCUCAUUUCUGACUCCUGACCCAUGUUUUCCCACAUAUUUUGCAUUCUUAAGUAUACUUUUUUUUUCACUUAAGUCACUAAUUAUCAAAGUACAUGAAUUGGUCCUAGCAAAUUCUUUUUAGAAUUUCUCUUCCUUCUUAUCUUCUAAUAUCUUAAACAAGUAGGAGUAUUUAAAUACCAAAUGACCUAAAAUGUCAAAAAACUGUACCUUCUGUGGUCUUUUGAUGAACUAAACUAACUCCAACAGUUCUUUUAUUUGCUUUGCCUCUCUCCAAAGACAUGUGAGCCACUUUUCCAUUUAACUACAAUUGCUUUGUAUGACUUACAAGAAAAAAAAAAUGUUAAGAGUGAUAUGAUUCCAUUUAUGCAAGAACAUGUCCUUAUUGGUCACUAGGCAAGAAUACUAUCAACUAAAUUUGAUACCCUCUCCCUCCCUUUUCUUCACAUUGCCACUUUCACUGUGGAAGUCAUUAAUGGACCUGGCUACACAGAACUGGGAAUCAUUUUGUUUUUUUUCUUGGUUUCAGGGAUUGCUAUGAUCAUCAGAUCUGACUACUAAUAACAAAACCUUUCCACAUUUUAUUAAAAUGGUACAUAGAAAGUAGAAAAUUUCUAGAACUAUUCUGGAAACUUUUCUAACAUACUGGUGAAAUGAGAAAAAUUUCUGCCAAAUUAUUGCUUAACUUUGGAAAUGAUUUUUUUUUUUUUUAUUUAAUAGCCUUUUAUUUACAGGAUAUAUACAUGGGUAACUUUACAGCAUUAACAAUUGCCAAACCUCUUGUUCCACUUUGGAAAUGAUUAAGGAUGAGGCUAUAUAUAAGGUAAGUAAUGAUCAAACAACAAGCAUUUGGUCUGUCAGGUACUAUGACAAGGGGAUAUAAUCAUGACAGAUUAAAGAAAACUUUGCUAUAUUCUCAUAGAUCAUAUAUUUAAGAUAACUUUAGCGCCAAUCCAAUAGAAACUGCAUAGGAGAAAAUGGUUUCAAAGAAUUGUGAGGUCUCUCUAAAAUGUCUUGAGUUAAGUGGUUUUAGAUGUUGCAAUUUCUUCUCUUCAAGUAAGGCAAUGAAAAGAGUAGAGUUAAUUCCCAAAAAUGCUCUCCUCACCCUGGUUACCAAUUCAGUCAUUCCUGAUAGUCCAAGAAGAGUAUAUAUAAAAGUACCAAUGUUGCCUGAAUUUCAAUAUAAUCUAACACGGAGAAUGUGGCAAAAGUAAUUAGCAGCUUACUUUGCAUUACUACACAGUUGGAGAGCUCUUUGUGAGCUACAGAGCCACAAUCUGUAAUGCACAAUUGUCUGAAUGUUUCCUCCUCCCUUAAAAUGUAAGCUCUUGAAGGAAAAGACUAAGACUACUUUUUGUCUUUCUUCAUAUCCCCAGAGCUUAUCUCAGUACCUGGCACAUAGCAAGCAUUUAAUAAAUGCUUAUUGACUUUAAUAGGAAAAAAAAACUGAAUUAAGGACAUUGAAUUAAGGACAUUGAAUUAAGGAAAAUACAAUCUCAAUUAAUAUUUGGUUUUUGUUUUGUGUACUCUUUUAACACAGAUCAUGAGAACAUAAUAGCCAGAACUCACAGAAACAAUGGUAUGUGUAUGUGCAUUAAUUUCAUUUAUUCUUGUUUCUCUCUUUUUUUAAAUGGAGGAAUAUACAAUUUUGUAAAAAUGAAGUAUAUAUAAACACAUACAUUUUCUACAAUAUACAUAGCAGGUAUUCAUUCUUUUCUUUUUUAAUACAGUACACUUAAGUAUAUAAUGUACCAAAUUAUCUAAAACUUUGACCAUUCAGAGGGCAGAAAAAAGAAAAGCCCAUACUCUUAAAAAUAUACAAAGUCCUCUGAAUAGAGGAAUACAAACAGGCACCACACGAAGAAAAAUGGAAACACAUAUUUCUGUGGAAUAAAACUGCUAUUUUGUGGCUAAUGAAAAUAAUGCCACUAAAAGAGAACAGAAGGAAGCUUAUAAAGGAAUACAAAUAAAAGAACAACUUGCAAAGUAUAACAUCUUAAAUUUAUUCUAGAUUUAUAAAAAAAAAUUAUAUGUAUUAUAUGUAUUAUUACAUGUAAUAAAACUCCCAUUUUCACAUUUUUUGUUCUACUUUCUGGACAAAAAUGUUUGUUGGUUUUCAAACUGCUCUUUAAGGGACAUCUGUGAAAUUCGGGAUGAACAAAUUAUGCUUUUUUAAAAGGAAAAAUAAAAUACUGACAUUAGGUUUUUAAAUUAUAUUGCAUUUUCAAGUUGCAUAUAAAGAAAUCAACUAACAAUGAGACCAGGUGAAAUUCAGUCAAGAGAUCACAGUUAUUUAACCUCUCCUCUCUCCUUCACCUUUUCAAAGCUUUUUUGAAUAUUGCUUUUAAUCUUCUGAACUAUUUGAGUUAUCUGAAUAAGCCUGGGAAAGAAAUCAUGGGUAUGGGUUCUUUCUGAAUACAAAUCUGAUUUCCAAAUGAUCACGUAAGGAGCUCAAAAUUAAUCGAUUCUAAAAUGCAUCCAAUUCAAGUCAAUAAGCAUUUAUUUAAGUACCUAUAAUAAUAUAAUUUGGGUUUAAUUAUAUAUUAUACCUAUAAUACUGUGCAAAGUGCUGGAGAUACAAAGACAAAAGACAGUUCCUGAUCUCAAGAUCACAGUCUAAUGAGGGGUGACUUGUAAACAAGCAUGUACAAACAGGGUAUAUACUGAAUGAAUUGAAGCUGAUCAAUACAGGAAAAUACACCAUUUAUUAAGGAGGAGGAUUGAGAAGAUGAGAUUUUUAACUGGGCCCUGACAAGGGAAGCCAGGAAACAGAGAUGAAGAGGUAGAGAAUUUUAGGCACUGUACAAUCAGUACAGAUACUCAGAGGAGAAAUAUGAAAUGUUUUAGACCAGGAACAGAAAGGUGAGUGUCACUGGAUUUCUGAAGAAUAUGUACAGUGUAUAAAAAUACCUUAAAGGGAGAGAGAAGGAAGUCAGAUUGUGAAGAACUUCAAACGACAUGAUUAAUCCUAAAGAUGAUAGGAAGCCACUGGAACUGAAUUUAGGAAAAUUACUUUGACAUUUCAUGGGAGGAAGGCUUAGAACAAGGGAAGACUGAGGGAGGGAGACUAACUGAUAGGUUAUUGCAAUAAAUAGUCCAGGCAUGAAGUGAUCAUGGCUGGCACUAAGGUGGUAAAUAGUAUCGGGGCUAGAAGGGUGUGUAUAACCCAGCAUGCAUAAAAUGUUUCAAUUAAUCUAUAAGGCUGUCUUGCAUAGGACUGUAGAUUUAAAUAAAGCCAACCAGGUGGCUGGAAACAAUUUCAAGAAUAGCAUCAUAUGACAGAAGAAUAUCUAAUACCAAGUCCUCAGUAAUAAUACUUCAUUAGAAUAAAAAAUAGUGAGAUAGAAUUUCAUGCUUCUAUCUCUAAAGCAACUUCUCCUAGCUCCCAGAUUUCAGUCAUUUGGUGGCUAUAUUAGCAUAUUUUUUUCUAGUAGAUAACCUGAAUUAAUCAAAAUUUUGUUCCAUAUCCAAAAUAAAACACUUAUUUGCCAGUAUUCACUGACAAAGUUACCAGACUGGUCAAGAUGCCUAAAGGACACUAAGGAAAUCAAUUGACAGGGCUUAUUCAGUGUGUUAUCAGGGGCAAAGGGUCAAGCAGCAAUACUCUAGUAAAAUAAGAAGUCAAAGACUCAAAGGAAAACUAGGGUUCUCAAAUCAGAGGAAGUCAGAAAAAUUAUCCAUAAGAGUCAGGAGGGCUAAAUGAGAAUACAGAAUAAAGUAAUAUCCUAAUUACAUGCUUAAGAACACAACUAUUUCCAGUUAGAGAUCAAUUAGAUAUAAUAAAUUUCCUAUUACUUAAAAACCUUCUAUUUUAUUAGUUAAGUCUAAUACAUUUCAUUAAACCACCAAAGGGCAAUAAUUUCUACUAAAUGCAAUACCAUAACUAGUUUCUCAAAAAAAAAAAAAAAAAAAAAAAUUAAUGGAUUCUUUUCUAUAUGUAUUAUAUAGCCUAUUUUUAUCUCAACAAAUCCCAAACUGUUAAAAACAUUGCUCUCCCUAGAAGGAAUUUAUGACCAAAAAAGAAAUAGAGAUUAUUGAUCACAAAAUCGAAAAUUUUGAUUAUACCAAAUUGAAAAGUUUUUGUACAAACAAAACUAAUGCAGACAAGAUUAGAAAGGAAGCAAUAAACUGGGAAAACAUUUUUACAGUCAAAGGUUCUGAUAAAAGCCUCAUUCCCAAAAUAUAGAGAAUUGACUGUAAUUUAUAAGAAAUCAAGCCAUUCUCCAAUUGAUAAAUGAUCAAAGGAUAUGAACAGAUAAUUCUCAAAGAAAUUGAAACUAUUUCUAGCCAUAUGAAAAGAUGCUCCAAGUCAUUAUUAAUCAGAAAAAUGCAAAUUAAGACAACUCAGAUACUAUUACACACCUGUCAGAUUGACUAGAAUGACUGGGAAAGAUGGAAUAUUGGAGUGGAUGUGGGAAAACUGGAACACUGAUACAUUGUUGGUGGAACUGUGAACACAUCCAGUCAUUCUGGAGAGUAGUUUGGAACUAUGCUCAAAAAGUUAUUAAACUGUGCAUACCCUUUGAUCCAGCAGUGUUACUACUGGGCUUAUAUCCCAAAGAGAUCUUAAGGGAAAGGGACCUGUAUGUUUGUGGCAGCCCUUUGUAGCGGACAGAAAGUGGAAACUGAGUGGAUACCCCUUAAUCGGAGAAUGGCUGAAUAAAUUGUGGUAUAUGAAUGUUAUGAAAUAUUACUGUUCUGUAAGAAAUGACCAGCAGAAUGAUUUCAGAAAGACCUGUAGAGACUUGCAUGAAUUUAUGUUGAGUGAAAUGAGCAGGACCAGGAAAUCACUAUAUACUUCAACAACGAUACUGUAUGAUGAUCAAAUCUGAUGGACGUGUCCCUCUUCAACAAUGAGAUGAAACAAACCAGCUCCAACAAAAUAGUAAUGAAUUGAACCAGCUACACCCAGCAAAACUCAGGGAAAUGAGUGUAAACCACUACAUAGAAUUCCUAAUCCCUCUAUUUUUGUCCUCCUGCAUUUUUUUAUUUCCUUCACAGGUUAAUUGUACACUAUUUCAAAGUCUAAUUCAUUUUGUGCAGCAAAAUAACUGUAUGGACAUGUGUGUGUGUGUAUAUAUAUAUAUGUUGUAUUUUAACAUAUUUAACAUGUAUUAGUCAACUUGCCAUGGGGGGGGGGGGGGGGGAGAAGGAGGGGUUAAAAUUGGAACAAAAAGUUUUGUAACUGUCAAUGCUGAAAAAUUACCCAUUCAUAUAUCUUAUAAAUAAAAAACUAUAAUUAAAAAAAUUAAAUUCUAUUUAAAACAAAAACAUUGCUCCCCGAGUUGUACUAAACACAAUGUUAACUUCUUAGGCUAACAGUUUAAAGUAAAAGAGAUUUUAGCAAUCAUACAAUCAACUCCUCAUUUUACAGAUGAGUAAACUGAAGAAGCCCAGAAAAGUUAAGUGUCUGAAUUCACACAAAUGGAAGCCAGAGUUGGGAUUUGAACCCAGAUACCCUCAGAUUCUAAAUCAAGCACUUCUUAUUACACUAUGCUUUCUUCCUUCACCUCUUAAGUACAAUCUUCUUGAGGUGCUUAGGAAUUAUUUCAUUCCUAUCAUUUCUUUGUCCAGUGCUUGAUUAAUUUUUCAUUUCAAUUAAAAUAAGAGCAUAAAGAUAGUUCAACUAUCUUUAGUUGAUAAAGAUCCAAUUGUAUCAACAUUUUGUAGGAUACCAACUGUCUUCCUUGAUAACUUCAAAAAGGACUAUAGAUUUAAAGGUAGGAAGGGGCUCAAAAAUUAACAACAAAUUCCAAAACAUAUUUUUAGUUACUAAUAGAGGCCCAAGAUUUACCUCAGUCUUUUCUGGCCAUAUGCAAGUCCUAGAGUAACGAUUUCCAAAUGUCAUUCAUUAGUCUUCCUUUAAAUUAACCUACAUUUACUUUUUUCGAGAUUCAAAAAAGUCUGCUAAUUCUACUAUACCAGAACUGGGGAAAUGAAUAUAUGAUUACUAUAAAUAUAUGUAUGUGUAUUCCCUUCAGGAUUUUAUAGACUUCAAUCAUCUCACUUUCUCAGAUUUCCCACUUCUAAACUGAAAAGCUUUAUAUAUACUAUGUCCUCUUAACCAUUUUAAUUGCUCUUCUCUAUGGUUAGAUGUCUAUACUAUGGUCCAAAUAAAAUUUAAAGGCAAAUCACUUGACUUACCAAAAGAUCAACUACUUUUCUUUUAAAUUGAAAGCUGCCAAACAUUUUAAAUGACGUCAUGUGUAAAAGAACUGCUUUGUGAAUAACUUUCUGAAAUAUGUUUAAAAUUAUUACUGAGAAAAGAGAAACAACAGGGAAUGGGAUAUAAUCAAAAGAAUACAUUUUCGAUGUACAUACUCUUCUAUUUUAAAAGAUAAUUUAGAGACAUAGGGAUGUAUUUUAGCAGUGGUGAUUUUUUUUUUUUUGAGAUAGAAAGGAGUGAACAUUUUUUAAUAACUGAGAAAAGAUAUAAAAAAGAAUGUUUGGAUUAACUGUUAUUUUGUCUUUAAAAGACCUGUAAAACCCCUUAUUCUUAGUACUUCCUAAAGAUACAAAAGGAAAAUUACUGAAAU
rnacentral:lncRNA from 1 species